ACGUUCGGAUUGUAGUCUGCAACCCGACUACAUGAAGCCGGAAUCGCUAGUAAUCGCGGAUCAGAAUGCCGCGGUGAAUACGUUCCCGGGUCUUGUACACACCGCCCGUCACACCAUGGGAGUCGGGAAUGCCCGAAGUCAGUGACCCAACCCAAGGGAGGGAGCUGCCGAAGGCAGGCCUGGUGACUGGGGUGAAGUCGUAACAAGGUACC
rnacentral:rRNA from 1 species